rnacentral:rRNA from 1 species
GACGAACGCUGGCGGCGUGCUUAACACAUGCAAGUCGAGCGGAAAGGCCCUUCGGGGUCCUCGAGCGGCGAACGGGUGCGUAACACGUGAGUAAUCUGGCCUUGGCUUUGGGAUAACUACCGGAAACGGUGGCUAAUACCGGAUACGACAACCGUCUGCAUGGGCUGGUUGUGGAAAGUUUUUUCGGCCAGGGAUGUGCUCGCAGCCUCUCAGCUUGAUGGUGGGGUAAUGGCCUACCAAGGCUUCGACGGGUAGCCGGCCUGGGAGGGUGACCGGCCACACUGGGACUGUGACACGGCACAGACGCCUACGGGAGGCAGCAGUGGGGAAGAUGGGACAAUGGGCGGAAGCCUGAGCCAGCAACGCCGCGUGAGGGAUGACGGCCGUCGGGUUGUAGACCUCUUUCAGUACCGACGAAGCGCCGAUGAUGGUGGUGACGGUAGGUACAGAAGAAGCACCGGCCAACUACGUG